GAUGAACGCUGGCGGCGUGCCUAAUACAUGCAAGUCGAGCGAACAGACGAGGAGCUUGCUCCUCUGACGUUAGCGGCGGACGGGUGAGUAACACGUGGAUAACCUACCUAUAAGACUGGGAUAACUUCGGGAAACCGGAGCUAAUACCGGAUAAUAUAUUGAACCGCAUGGUUCAAUAGUGAAAGACGGUUUUGCUGUCACUUAUAGAUGGAUCCGCGCCGCAUUAGCUAGUUGGUAAGGUAACGGCUUACCAAGGCAACGAUGCGUAGCCGACCUGAGAGGGGGAGCGGCCACAUUGGUACUGCGACCCGGUGCGGACGCCGACGGGCGGCAGCAGGCCGGAUUCUUUCGCAAUGGGCGAAAGCCGUAAGGAGCAACUACGCGGGAAGAACGAAGUUCUUAGGAUCGUAAACCUCUUUUAUUCGAGCAGAAAAAAUGUCUAAGUAUCUAUGCACGCCUGGACGGUCCCUAAUCAGAAAGCCACCGCUAACUACC
rnacentral:rRNA from 1 species